rnacentral:rRNA from 1 species
AGUCUAUUGAUAAUUUAAUAGAUGAACUCUGCUCAAUGAUAGAUUUAUUAAAUAGCCGCAGUAAACUGACUGUGCAAAGGUAGCAUAAUAAAUUGUCCUCUAAUUAGGGUCUAGUAUGAAAGGAAUCAUAUAUGGAAUCUGUCUCAAAUUCAUACUUUACUAAAUUUACUUAGCCGGUGAAAAUUCCUGCAUUAAUCUAUGAAAGACGAGAAGACCCUUAGAAUUUUUAUUAAAUAUUAAAUUACAUGUAAAUUUUAGUAUUAUUUUCGUUGGGGCGACGAAUAUUCAAUAAAUAACAAUAUUUAUUUAUUUAAUACUAGUCCACUUUUAGUUAGUUAGGUAAAAUUACCUGAGGGAUAACAGCAUAAUUUUUUUAACAUGUUUAUGACCUCGAUGUUGG